CCUCCCGCCGUGCGAUAUGAAUCCGGGUAGCUCUUUCAGCUAGCUGUCACCAGGAGACCUUGGUAUGGUCCCCCCCAACAAGCCUCUGGGACUGGAUUGAGUGACUUCACCUGUAGUUCACCUAUAAUGCAUAAAAUGCUGGACAUACAGGCUUGGUUAACAAACAGUUUCUCAUAUGUUUUAUCUGAUUAUAUCUUUACCUUCUAUGCCCAUUUGUUUAGCUACAUUUUUUUUAAAUGAUUAGUUUCUUAUCCAAUAGGCCCCAUCCUAUCCUAGACCACAAUUUACCUAUCCCCUUUUGAUACCUGGCUCUGCCCAGGUAACAACCUUACCUACUCUAAAUAAUGACUUAGGUAAGAUUAGUAUAUUAUCCUUCUGUUCUGACAUUAUCAUGUAUGAGCACCCCUUUAAUUUUCCACAUGUCCAAUUCUCCCUUUUGUCUCCACUCAGUGACUGUUAUCUACACAUUCUGUUAUCUUUGCUCGUCCUGGCUCCCUUCUAAAACUUCUCCUCUCUGCUCUCCAACCUUCAAGGUCUCUGCAGUGCGGGGGAGGGCUCUUCUGUCUGCCUUUUCCCAUGUUUUCCACAUUUUAACUAAAUGUCUCACUGUCUGGCUUUAUCUAAACUCAUGGAUUUUUUAUUUUUUAGAAAAACAUGUCUAUUGUGGCAAUUUCUAAAGUCUUUAUAUAGGUUAAGUAAACUCCACUAUAAUUAAGUUACCUUAAAAAAAAAAAUUAAAUUUCAAAAAACUUUUUUAAUCUUUUCAUUUAUUUUUUAGACAGUAUUACCCAUGACCACAAAUUCAUUAUUCAAAUGGCACCCCCUUGUGGCUGAUCAGACCACCCGAGAGAGCCAUGAAAGCAGGUCACAGGUUACACCAUCCCCCUACAUUCGUGUUCCAUACCAUAUUAGACAUAUUAAAGAACCCUUUAUCCUUAAAAUAAAAAUCACGUGUGUAAUUAAAACUCAUAAAAAUAAAAAACUCAUAAAGGUUCCAUUUGUGAGCGUGCCUCUUUAAAAUAUCAUGUCUCUGGGAACAUGGAAAUCCCCUUAACCCAAACAUGUACUACAUAAACAAAACCUAAUAAUUAUGAUAAUCCCCUCAAACUCAAAUAAUUUGUCUCGAUGUUUCAUGUCUUAUUCGUGUUUCUCCAAAUUGUCUCCCCAAAUCUACAAAAAGAAUUUCACGUUAAUAGAGUUGAACACUUUUUUUUUUUCCAACAGUCAUGCACACCCCCUCAAUAUUCUAUGAUAUAACUCUCAUCAGCAAGCCUGCGACUUUUUCAACAUUCUCACCGGUACCAGCUCCAACUGAAAUACCUAAUGUACCACACUCGCUUGGUCCCCGACCUCAUUCAUACCGAUAUUAGUCCCCGACUGAAUAUCAAGCAUAUUUCAUGCACACGAUUUGAGUCUCACAAAUCUUCAUUUACGCCAGAUCACAUCUAAAACAUCGUUUGAACAUUCACUCAAUAUAGUCAACACAUCUAAAACAUUGUCUAAACAUUCGUUCAAUUUAUCAUUCAGUAGACAUAUGCAUUUACAAACACACGAAUAAACCGGGGCCAGAUAUGCCCAGUCUAGUCCAGGGAUAACCCCUGUCUCUAGGAGGCCUAUUAGCCGAUGCUGAUGGGAGUCUGGUCCACAUCGUCACCUGCUAAUCGGGUUGUAUUGGAGCCGAAUUCAAGUCGCUCAAGUCGACCCUGACCUCUGUCAGUGUUCUAUUGGGAAUCGAAGCUGGUGCACAAUGAGUCAAGUGGUGCCAAGGCGCCCCUGAUUUACCUUUGACCUGGACCGAGUGUGAAGUAACCUCCUUCACUUCGUACGGUCCAGUCCACCUGGGAUCCUGCCACUUUCUCUUGUGGACCUUGAUCCUUACCCAGUCUCCGACCUUUACCCUUGGUUGCUCUGGAUCUCCC
ensembl:lncRNA